rnacentral:rRNA from 1 species
AGUGAACGCUGGCGGUAGGCCUAACACAUGCAAGUCGAACGGCAGCACAGUAAGAGCUUGCUCUUACGGGUGGCGAGUGGCGGACGGGUGAGGAAUACAUCGGAAUCUACUUUUUCGUGGGGGAUAACGUAGGGAAACUUACGCUAAUACCGCAUACGACCUACGGGUGAAAGCAGGGGAUCUUCGGACCUUGCGCGAUUGAAUGAGCCGAUGUCGGAUUAGCUAGUUGGCGGGGUAAAGGCCCGCCAAGGCGACGAUCCGUAGCUGGUCUGAGAGGAUGAUCAGCCACACUGGAACUGAGACACGGUCCAGACUCCUACGGGAGGCAGCAGUGGGGAAUAUUGGACAAUGGGCGCAAGCCUGAUCCAGCCAUACCGCGUGGGUGAAGAAGGUCUUCGGGUUGUAAAGCCCUUUUGUUGGGAAAGAAAAGCAGCAGGUUAAUACCCCGCUGUUCUGACGGUACCCAAAGAAUAAGCACCGGCUAACUUCGUG